rnacentral:lncRNA from 1 species
CCAGCGAAACCGACGCGUUCCCAAAUAAGUUAAAAGAAAAGGGCCUAAAUCCCUAAAAAUUGCAAGAGGAACGACUGCUCACUCUCUUCUUCAUCUCGUCUUCUGCGUUCAGCUCACCAAAUCUCAAGAGAGUGAGCUUGAAUUCCUCACACGCACCCUUAUCCUCCACGUCAUGAAGAUUCUAACGGCUUCUGACAUCUUUUCCUCUCUCAUGUGCCGAUUUUACUUGGGAAUUUCUGAAGAAUGAACUCCAAAAAAUUGGAGCCGUGGAUUGAUUUGAGGAUGAAUCCUCUCCUUUCAUUUGUCAAGGUUCGUUCUAGAAGAGAUUUCUUUUCAGAUUUCUUGUGCAAAGAGAGAAUUUCGUGAGAGGGGAUAUAUAUAUGCAGGUCUGAUUUCAGGUUAAGGGGGCUUUUUUUUGGAAGAUAUUGUUGAGAGAAAAGUUCAUAACUGAAAGGAUUUUUCUGGAGAAGGAAUUGGAGAUUUGUUUUCUUCUUCGUCUUUGUUGUUUCUUUUAUUUCGGUUACAAAAACAUCACGGAAAAAAAAUCAUUGAGUGUGCUGCUUUUUCAUUUCAUAUCGACCAUGGUUUAAAGUUUUCGAAUCCUCUAGAGUCUGUCUGCUUCAUUUUUAUUCUAGUUUGUGGAUUACAAAUGUGAGUUAUUUGAGAAGUUGGAGGCUGUUGCUGCUUGAGGGUUGAUUCUCAGCUAUUUUUUUUGCUUCCCUUUUGGUCGAUUUCAAUAUUGUAUUUACUCAGUUCCUUAAUCCAGGUUCAUUUCUUUGCUUCUCUCUAAUUCCUGUUGUAAAUCGAUCUUUGAAUGGGCUAUAAAAUGGGCUAACGUUUGGAGUAGUAACUAAGAUUUUAGUUUUUUAUGACUUUGUAUAUGUGUUUUAUUAAUGUUCAUAUGGUCUUCUAGUUCCAGAAUCCAUCCAGGCGCGUAAUUAUGUGUCUGAAGUUUUUUAAUCGGUCUAGUUUGUUUCUUUUUCUCUGAAAUCGACGUGAAGAGGGAUAUAGGAGUUUAGCCUUUGAAUUUCACUUUUUCUGGUUCUGUUUUUUUUUUUUCGAAGUUCUGUAUCGUGGGUUGUUUUGUUCUGUUUCUAUCAUUCAAGAUCAUAGUUGUGUGAAUAUUGACUUAAAAGGGGUUAAUUGAAACACGAGUAUGAGUGCUUUAACCCGAUGGUCGUCUGAAUAUCUUUUCUGCUUUUGCUUGGUCCUUGAAUGUGAAGUUAGUUCGAUUUAUGCUCUGUAAAGUUAUAUGCUCGACCUUUGUAAGCCUUAAGUUGCAUUUUGAUGAACUUUAUAGCUAACAAAGCAUGAAUCUGCGACGCUUUCUAUUCAAUACUUGCUAUUUUUCCAUUAGUUUUGCUUUGUUUGGUUGAAGCUUGAUUAGUUGUGAAGCGAUUGGCUGAAUCUCAUUCUAGUGACAUGCUCUUUGUGGUCUUUUAUGAAUAUUUAGCUUACCCUUUCCAGUUGGGGCUCGAAAAGUGCUGGAAAUGAGUAGUGUUUUCUGCCUGGUGAAGAUCUAGUCUAUGUUCCUGUUGCUCUAAAUUUGUUGCUGCUCCUUGCCCUUUUCAUGUCCUUGUGCUAACUGAUAGUCCUAUUUGAUCGUUUUCUUCCCUUUGAAUAGAAUCUGUUAUCAUCUCUUCUCAACUUGAUUAGUUUAGUCUUGUUUUCUGUUUGUGAUUUGAAGUUGUAACACUAAAGGAGAGAAACAACUGGUGUUGGAAUUCAUGUGUCAAAAGCUAGAGCGUUUGUGAACAUUAACCGUUUGGCAUAGAUCCUAUGUGUUUGAGUUGAUAGUUUUAUUAGACCUGAAAUUUUAAGCUUCGAGCUGUACCUUUCUACUGCUGGAUCAACUUUCUUAGCAAUAGUAUAACAGUAAUACUUAAGUGUUCAUAAACAG